GCAACGCAUGUUAGUUAGCAUGAUGCUGGCUGGGCCAGGGGGAGCAGACAGGCAGCACAAGGACAAAGAGGGGGCUGAAGAGAAAGCCCAUGACCAGAAUGACUCCUAUCAGAGUCACUUGUCCUGUGUCAGGUGUUUGGAGGGCCCCAGUCUGGGUCCUACAGCACAAAGCCCCCAGCAUGACUGGAGUCCCUGGCAGGCACUUUCUGCACGGGCUGA